AACGGCGAGUGAAGCGGCAAAAGCUCAGAUUUGAAAUCUGGCGUCUUCGGCGUCCGAGUUGUAAUCUGUAGAGGAUGCCUUUGGGUGGCCACCGGUCUAAGUCCCCUGGAACGGGGUGUCACAGAGGGUGAGAAUCCCGUAUGUGACCGGGAAGGCGCCCUAUACAUGGCUCCUUCGACGAGUCGAGUUGUUUGGGAAUGCAGCUCUAAAUGGGAGGUAAAUUCCUUCUAAAGCUAAAUACCGGCCAGAGACCGAUAGCGCACAAGUAGAGUGAUCGAAAGAUGAAAAGCACUUUGGAAAGAGAGUUAAAAAGCACGUGAAAUUGUUGAAAGGGAAGCGCUUGCAACCAGACUUGUUGGCGGUGUUCCGCCGGUCUUCUGACCGGUCUACUCACCGUCUGCAGGCCAGCAUCAUCUGGGGCCGCUGGAUAAAAGCGGAGGGAAUGUGGCUCCUCCGGGAGUGUUAUAGCCCUCUGUGUAAUACAGCGAGUCCCGGGUGAGGUCCGCGCUUCGGCUAGGAUGCUGGCGUAAUGGUCGUAAGCGGCCCGUCUUGAAACACGGACCAAGGAGUCUAACAUCUAUGCGAGUGUUCGGGUGUCAAACCCCUACGCGUAAUGAAAGUGAACGGAGGUGGGAACCUUUUAGGUGCACCAUCGACCGAUCCUGAUGUCUUCGGAUGGAUUUGAGUAAGAGCAUAGCUGUUGGGACCCGAAAGAUGGUGAACUAUGCCUGGAUAGGGUGAAGCCAGAGGAAACUCUGGUGGAGGCUCGCAGCGGUUCUGACGUGCAAAUCGAUCGUC
rnacentral:rRNA from 1 species